GCAAAUCUCAUUAAGUAGCUAAAUCAAUUCAAAAACCACAAUACAAGGUAAUAUUUAUAUAUCCAUCCCUAAAAUCUCAAAGUUAUACUUACAAAUCAUAGUUUCAAGACAAGCCCAAGCAGAGAAAUGAAAAAGAAAUGAAAAUCUAAGCUAUAGGACAGAAAAACCCAGUGAAAAUGGUGAAGAAACUGCUGCUGGAACGUUGAAGAAGGUGUCUCUUUUGCUGCUGCAAAACUAGAUCUCACGUGCUCCUCUUUCUUCUUCUCUCUCUUGCAAAAUCUCGCUCUUUUUUCCCUUAUGAAAGA
rnacentral:misc_RNA from 1 species